rnacentral:rRNA from 1 species
UACGUAGGUGGCAAGCGUUAUCCGGAAUUAUUGGGCGUAAAGCGCGCGUAGGCGGUUUUUUAAGUCUGAUGUGAAAGCCCACGGCUCAACCGUGGAGGGUCAUUGGAAACUGGAAAACUUGAGUGCAGAAGAGGAAAGUGGAAUUCCAUGUGUAGCGGUGAAAUGCGCAGAGAUAUGGAGGAACACCAGUGGCGAAGGCGACUUUAUGGUCUGUAACUGACGCUGAUGUGCGAAAGCGUGGGGAUCAAACAGGAUUAGAAACCCGGGUAGUCC